UACAGCGGGUGCGAGCGUUGUCCGGAAUCACUGGGCGUAAAGGGCACGUAGGCGGCUUUGCAAGCGUGCGGUGAGAGCUCGGGGCUUAACUCCGAGUCUGCCGUGCGAACUGUGAGGCUUGAGUCUGGUAGAGGUCGAUGGAAUUCCGGGUGUAGCGGUGGAAUGCGUAGAGAUCCGGAAGAACACCGGUGGCGAAGGCGGUCGACUGGGCCAGUACUGACGCUGAGGCGCGACAGCGUGGGGAGCAAACAGG
rnacentral:rRNA from 1 species